rnacentral:rRNA from 1 species
UGCGUAGGCGGUUUGUUAAGUCUGACGUGAAAUCCCCGGGCUCAACCUGGGACGUGCGUUGGAAACUGGCAAUCUAGAGUACGGUAGAGGGUGGUGGAAUUCCCGGUGUAGCAGUGAAAUGCGUAGAGAUCGGGAGGAACACUCGUGGCGAAGGCAAUCCCCUGGGCCUGCACUGACGCUCAUGCACGAAAGCGUGGGGAGCAAACAGGAUUAGAUACCCGCGUA